UAGCUAGUUGGUGGGGUAAGGGCCUACCAAGGCGACGAUCGGUAGCUGGUCUGAGAGGAUGACCAGCCACACUGGAACUGAGACACGGUCCAGACUCCUACGGGAGGCAGCAGUGGGGAAUAUUGGACAAUGGGGGCAACCCUGAUCCAGCAAUGCCGCGUGUGUGAAGAAGGCCUGAGGGUUGUAAAGCACUUUCAGUGGGGAGGAGGGUUGAUAGGUUAAGAGCUAAUUAACUGGACGUUACCCACAGAAGAAGUACCGGCUAACUCCGUGCCAGCAGCCGCGGUAAUACGGAGGGUGCGAGCGUUAAUCGGAAUUACUGGGCGUAAAGGGUGCGUAGGUGGUUGAUUAAGUUAUCUGUGAAAUUCCUGGGCUUAACCUGGGACGGUCAGAUAAUACUGGUUGACUCGAGUAUGGGAGAGGGUAGUGGAAUUUCCGGUGUAGCGGUGAAAUGCGUAGAGAUCGGAAGGAACACCAGUGGCGAAGGCGGCUACCUGGCCUAAUACUGACACUGAGGCACGAAAGCGUGGGGAGCAAACAGGAUUAGAUACCCUGGUAGUCCACGCUGUAAACGAUGUCAACUAGCUGUUGGUUAUAUGAAAAUAAUUAGUGGCGC
rnacentral:rRNA from 1 species